AGUUGUAUCCUGGCUCAGGAUGAACGCUAGCGGUAUGCCUAACACAUGCAAGUCGUACGAGGGUUUCAUACCCAAGUGGCGGACGGGUGAGUAACACGUGAGAAUUUGCCCUAAGGAGGGGGAUAACAACUGGAAACGGUUGCUAAAACCCCAUAUGCUUCCGAGUGAAAUAGAUUUAUCUGCCUUAGGAGAAGCUCGCGGCUGAUUAGCUAGUUGGUAAGGUAAUGGCUUACCAAGGCGACGAUCAGUAUCUGGUUUGAGAGGACGAUCAGACACACUGGAACUGAGACACGGUCCAGACUCCUACGGGAGGCAGCAGUGGGGAAUUUUCCGCAAUGGGCGAAAGCCUGACGGAGCAAUACCGCGUGAAGGAAGACGGCCUAUGGGUUGUAAACUUCUUUUUUCAGGGAGGAACUCAAUGACGUGUACCUGAAGAGUAAGCAUCGGCUAACUCCGUGCCAGCAGCCGCGGUAAGACGGAGGAUGCAAGUGUUAUCCGGAAUCACUGGGCGUAAAGCGUCUGUAGGUGGUUUAAUAAGUCGACUGUUAAAUCUUGAGGCUUAACCUCAAAAUCGCAUUCGAAACUAUUAGACUUGAGUAUAGUAGAGGUAAAGGGAAUUUCCAGUGGAGCGGUGAAAUGCGUAGAUAU
rnacentral:rRNA from 1 species